GGUUGUGGGAGCCAUUUAGGGUCAUCUAGUCCACCUCCUGCUUCAGGUACUGUCACCUACAGCGCAUUGCCCAGGAUCACAUCCAGGUCAUUUCCAACCUGUCCUAGACUGAUGAGACAGGCUUUAAAUUCAUCAGAAUGUAGAUUGUCAGAUUCAUCCUAGCAUCCCAUAACACGUCAUGCAUUUGGAAGGUAAAAGAAAAGAAGGAAAAAAAAAAUCACAGACCAGGGAGAAGUCAGUACUUUCAUGUUAGUACUUAUGUUCAUCUUCAUUCCUCUGAGGUGAUCAAAACCAAAAAAA